AUUGAACGCUGGCGGCAGGCCUAACACAUGCAAGUCGAACGGUAACAGGAAGCAGCUUGCUGCUUUGCUGACGAGUGGCGGACGGGUGAGUAAUGUCUGGGAAACUGCCCGAUGGAGGGGGAUAACUACUGGAAACGGUAGCUAAUACCGCAUAACGUCGCAAGACCAAAGAGGGGGACCUUAGGGCCUCUUGCCAUCGGAUGUGCCCAGAUGGGAUUAGCUAGCAGGUGGGGUAACGGCUCACCUAGGCGACGAUCCCUAGCUGGUCUGAGAGGAUGACCAGCCACACUGGAACUGAGACACGGUCCAGACUCCUACGGGAGGCAGCAGUGGGGAAUAUUGCACAAUGGGCGCAAGCCUGAUGCAGCCAUGCCGCGUGUAUGAAGAAGGCCUUCGGGUUGUAAAGUACUUUCAGCGGGGAGGAAGGGAGUAAAGUUAAUACCUUUGCUCAUUGACGUUACCCGCAGAAGAAGCACCGGCUAACUCCGUG
rnacentral:rRNA from 1 species